rnacentral:rRNA from 1 species
GACGAACGCUGGCGGCGUGCUUAACACAUGCAAGUCGAACGGAAAGGCCCUGCUUUUGUGGGGUGCUCGAGUGGCGAACGGGUGAGUAACACGUGAGUAACCUGCCCUUGACUUUGGGAUAACUUCAGGAAACUGGGGCUAAUACCGGAUAGGAGCUCCUGCUGCAUGGUGGGGGUUGGAAAGUUUCGGCGGUUGGGGAUGGACUCGCGGCUUAUCAGCUUGUUGGUGGGGUAGUGGCUUACCAAGGCUUUGACGGGUAGCCGGCCUGGGAGGGUGACCGGCCACAUUGGGACUGGGGUGCGGCCCAGACUCCUACGGGAGGCAGCAGUGGGGAAUAUUGCACAAUGGGCGGAAGCCUGAUGCAGCAACGCCGCGUGCGGGAUGACGGCCUUCGGGUUGUAAACCGCUUUCGCCUGUGACGAAGCGUGAGUGACGGUAAUGGGUAAAGAAGCACCGGCUAACUACGUG